CACACCGCCCGUCACAUCACGAAAGUGGGCUGUACUAGAAGUGGCUGAGCUAACCCUUCGGGGAGGCAGGUUACGACGGUAUGGUUCAUGAUUGGGGUG
rnacentral:rRNA from 1 species